GGGGCUCUUGCUGCGACAUCUGUCACCCCAUAUAUUACCGGAAUUGAUUUGGCUGAUCUGGCUAUCUAGGCUGGUGUUCCCCUCUACCUGCCUCACCAUCCCAUGUUUGUCGCUCCUGAAACUGAACUUAGUCCAAGAGGGCAACCUUUCCCAAUAGAAGAAGAGGACCAUUCUUCAGUCAGGGGUAUACCAGGAGCUGCACUCUCCUUAUAGAACCUCCAAAUAAGCCCUCAAAUUGUUGGGAUCUUUCUCUACCUUGUAACCUAGAUCUCAGGCCCUUAGGUCACUAGGGCCUUCCUCCUGGAGUUCUGUGCCUUUGA
ensembl:misc_RNA 7SK 7SK RNA